AGAGUUGGAUCCUGGCUCAGAGUGAACGCUGGCGGUAGGCCUAACACAUGCAAGUCGAACGGCAGCACAGGAGAGCUUGCUCUCUGGGUGGCGAGUGGCGGACGGGUGAGGAAUACAUCGGAAUCUACCUUUUCGUGGGGGAUAACGUAGGGAAACUUACGCUAAUACCGCAUACGACCUACGGGUGAAAGUGGGGGACCGCAAGGCCUCACGCGAUUAGAUGAGCCGAUGUCCGAUUAGCUAGUUGGCGGGGUAAUGGCCCACCAAGGCGACGAUCGGUAGCUGGUCUGAGAGGAUGAUCAGCCACACUGGAACUGAGACACGGUCCAGACUCCUACGGGAGGCAGCAGUGGGGAAUAUUGGACAAUGGGCGCAAGCCUGAUCCAGCCAUACCGCGUGGGUGAAGAAGGCCUUCGGGUUGUAAAGCCCUUUUGUUGGGAAAGAAAUCCUAUCGGUUAAUAACCGGUGGGGAUGACGGUACCCAAAGAAUAAGCACCGGCUAACUUCGUGCCAGCAGCCGCGGUAAUACGAAGGGUGCAAGCGUUACUCGGAAUUACUGGGCGUAAAGCGUGCGUAGGUGGUGGUUUAAGUCUGCUGUGAAAGCCCUGGGCUCAACCUGGGAAUUGCAGUGGAUACUGGAUCACUAGAGUGUGGUAGAGGGAUGCGGAAUUUCUGGUGUAGCAGUGAAAUGCGUAGAGAUCAGAAGGAACAUCC
rnacentral:rRNA from 1 species